rnacentral:lncRNA from 14 species
AACUCUGGGGGAGCAUCUCAGGAAAGGGGUGGGAGGCAGCAUGAGGAAGGUGUAAGGUUGUUGGAGGUAGGAGCACUGUUCAGGUCUGAACUGGGGAAGCCAGGCUGGGCAUGGGGGAAAAAUAAGAAAGCAAGGAGUGGUAGGUUGAAAUUGGAGAGAUUCUGGUUUCCUGAGUCAGAAGGAAACAAGUCAGUGCUAAAUGGUUUUUCUCCACAGGAGUGUGCAGAGUGCCUGAAUAGGCUCUUGUCCCCAGUGUCCUCAGUCACCAGAGCACACCAAGUGCCAGAGGGGUAAGUGGGAGCAAAUUAGCACCCUGGAGCUCCAUGUCCACAGCAGCUUCACACCCCUGCAGCCAGUGGCCACCACAGCUCCUCCCAUGCAACAGAGCAUCCUGUCUACUGCCACAGAAACACACAGCAGCAAGCGAGGUCUAUCUGUUGACAUUGGCUCUCCUGAGCGGAGCGUUGGGCCACGCCAGAAGCUGAGUGUACAACUCUCCUUGUGUUUCCCACUUUCCCAGGGGUUAUCACCUAUGAAAUCUCACACACACCCAUGGCCAGAAAAGGUUUCUGAUGUAGAGGCAGGUGAAAGGUGCCCACUGGUCCCAUGGUGGUGAGUUUGGGUGCCCCAUGCUUCCCUGCCAGAGGGGUUUUGAGUGGAUGGGUAAAGCCACAGCAAAGGCAGCCUGCGGUGGGAUGAGCAUGGUCAGAGGUCUGUAGAGCUGUGAUGAAAAUCAGGGCAUCAAACCAGCU